AAGCGUUGAAGUAGAGGGCUGUUUCAAGUCGCAGUGUUCUACGGAGCUUUGUUGGGGGUUGUGCAUUAACCACAACUUGAAUAGGCGCAAGCCGAAAGAAAAUGCUCUCA
rnacentral:ncRNA from 12 species